GACGAUUUUUUGAUUUGUUAUUGUACCUUGGUUUACAUGUCCAUCUCAACGUUACACGUAUGCUUGACAUCAGCAUGUAUGAAAUAUUAAGACAGAUUCUGUUAACGAAUUGACUAUCAUGAUAACAUUCAUUUUUUUGGUGGCUAAUUUAUGGCAUUUGCCCAUGUUUCAGCAAAAUGAGAAACAUGAGCUCCCGAAAACGAGGCGUGUUGUUGCUGACAUUUACAAAAAGGGUGGUAGCUGCAUGCAUUCAAGUUCCUUUGUCACUAAAAGAUAACAUUUACAAAGAUGAAAUGGAGAUUGUAUGGAAGGGUAGAUAUAUGAUUGGGGCUAGGCAUGCAAUGUUGUUCACGCGAAGCGUUAUUGUGCAAUAUUUCAAUUAUUCAUGUCGAAUUCGUGUCGUUGUGAUACUUGGGAAAUGUGUAAGACUAUAAACAACAUUUUUUACUAGACUUGAAUGUAAAUCUAGGGCCCAUGGAUGCCCUUGACAAAUAUUUUACAUCUUGUCUGUGGGAAGAUGUAGGCA
rnacentral:lncRNA from 1 species